CACAGAUCUUUAAAGGACUCCAGCUGUAAUGAGCUGUAUUUCUCAGGAUGCAGAUCUUCCAUUGUUUCAUAAAUAGCUGAACUGGCACCCUGGGAAAGGAUACAAAAUUGGCAUAGCAGCAAAAAUAGAAGAACUACCUGCUGUGUUUCACUGAGAUAAUCCCGAGGAUCCCAUCUCAGCAACACCAAGAUCUCACACAGAGAGGAAAAAAAGGCUUUAGCAGAAGAGGUGGAUCUACAUUUUGCAUGGAGGUGGAUCUACAUUUUGAAUCCAUUUUUAUGUUUUAUGCUACCAUGUUCCACA